ACCUGCUGCUUAUGAAAAUUAGGCCUUGCGAAUCUUCUUGAAUUAAGAGAAGAAUGCUUGCGAGAAUUCAACUUUUUUGAUGCAUAUAGUACUAUUAAACAGAGAGAGAAUGAGGCAUCACUUGCUGUCUUGCCUGAUCUUUUAAUGGAGCUUGAUAGUAUGAGUGAGGAAACAAGACUUCUUACAUUAAUAGAAGGCGUUCUUGCUGCAAAUAUCUUCUAUUGGGGAUCCCGUGCUUGUGUUGAUCUUUAUCACAAAGGAACGAUUAUUGAAAUAUAUAGAAUGAGUCGCAAAAAGAUGCAAAGACCAUGGCGG